rnacentral:rRNA from 1 species
CAGUCGCCGCGGUAAUACGUAGGUGGCAAGCGUUGUCCGGAAUUAUUGGGCGUAAAGCGCGCGCAGGCGGAUCAGUUAGUCUGUCUUAAAAGUUCGGGGCUUAACCCCGUGAUGGGAUGGAAACUGCUGAUCUAGAGUAUCGGAGAGGAAAGUGGAAUUCCUAGUGUAGCGGUGAAAUGCGUAGAUAUUAGGAAGAACACCAGUGGCGAAGGCGACUUUCUGGACGAAAACUGACGCUGAGGCGCGAAAGCCAGGGGAGCGAACGGGAUUAGAUACCCGCGUAGUCCCUGUCUCUUAUACA